AGCUUAGGGUUGAAGCUGCAACACCUGAGAGCAGGCUGAGCACUGGGCCAUGUGACCAGGAGGGCUGGAGCCCCAGCCUGAUAAAAGCUUGGCUCCUGAGCUAGAGAGCUCCAUCUGGCCUAGACUACUGCUGCCCUGGGUUGGAGCAGAGGGGAACCAAAGCAGCACAGGUACGUGCGGAGCUGCAAGAACCAGCAGCUACAGGAUUAAUAGGGUGAUCAGGAGACACACUCCAAUAAAGCAGUAUGACCAGGACAUUCAUGAAUAGGUUUGUUGACUUGGAGGCAAAUCCAGGGAAUUCGGAGAAAUUAGCCACCAAGUAAAUGAUAAAACUAUGGGUUGAAAGAAGAACUCCGGGACAUCAAGAGAGGAUACUGAAAAUGUUCCAGUUCCUUGGAAGAAUCCUUGCAAGAAAGAAGUCUAGUCUGAGUCUGUAACCAAUGAAGCACAGCUGGGUAUUCAGAAAGUCCUCCUGUGAGAUGCACAGGUCGUCUUGGGUGAUGAGAAGAUCCCACAGGCCUCAUCUCUGCCUAGUAUCUAAUUCAUCUAGUUAAAGCUAAGAUCUCUUCUACCACCUGUGGAUGGUCUCCUAGGUUCUAUUCCAUAUAAGUAAUAAUACAACAGACUAACUCUAGUGCUGAUGACAACUUCUGUAUUUUUACUUCUGUGCCAAAAGAAGUAGCAAGGCAUCUGAGCAAACCUCUUUCUUUUCAAAAAGACAGCAAGAAUGUUAUAAAAGCAAUGCCUCCCCAGCGUCUACAAAGGAUGAGUCUACAGACAUCUUGAAUGUCAGAUACUGAUACAGAUGUUCCAAAAUUUUAAAUCUGAGAGCCUUAAAGGUACAAUGAACAAUUAAUGGGCAAUUCUGCCUAGUACUUAGUAUGUAAUCUUGCCAAUGAAAUUCAUGUUGUUCUCUCUUGCAUUUGGUAGAAUUUCUGUGUCUCAUCCUGUAUAUUAAUAUAUUUUCACUUUUUUUUUUUUUUUUUUUUAAUAGAGAAGGGUUUAUUCUGGGAUCAAAGCCUAGCUUUCAGGAUGGUUAUAUAACUUUUGUAUGUUGUUUGUGACUGUUUUAACACCUAUACAAUGCGUUUUGUUUUGGGGUUUUUUUUUUUCAUUUUUUAUUUAUUAACUCUUUUUUUUUUUUCCCUAACUUCAGAAAAUGCCCACUGUUUCUGAGCUUGCACUAUAGUAGCAUUUUUAAAAGCCUGAAAUUUGCCACAGCCGUCAUGUGUUUUCCAUUAUGCAGAGCAGAAACUCUGCAGUCAGAUGCUGCUGUAAGAUGUACCUUUUAAAAUGCUUUAAAUAGGUAUGCAAGUUACAAAAAUGAGGAAGCUGUUUUGCUUUAAAAGUAAAUACUAAAUAUUUCAAUAUUUAAUAGUUUUACAUUUACUACUUGUAUGGUUCCAGUGGAAAACAAGAGGCUGUCUUCAUGGAGAUCUUCUGUACCCAUGUCCUGUGGUCUGUGGAGGAAGGGGGUUAUCUACCUUUAGAAAACCCAUCCCCACAAGUUUCCAGGAGGCUAGGAUCAUCCUGGUGUGGAAGGGUUGCAGUACAGUAACCAAUUCUGGCUUCCUAAUGUCUUAGCUGCAGCUUGCAAUUCAUUUUCUAAUCAACAUUCUCAGGGUCAAGAGAAGGCAAUACACAAGUCAGUUUUUAUUCCUGCCCCCAGGCCUUCAUAGGGCUAACACAAAAUGGGUAGCUGAUGCUUCUUUCCACAGAGAAAUGGGGAAGAACCAAAUAUAGAUUUUUUUUUUUUUCUUUUGUGCACAGAUUCCUGGGAGACAAUGCAAUAAUAAGGAUGAAAGAUGGAUAGGAAUGACAUGUGCUCAUCAGAGCUUACUUUACUUCAGUUUCAUUUGACACUUCCACAUUCCCAGCUCCCUAGUGUUCUCCUCCCUUGCUUCUGAGUGCAGUAUCAUACAUGUGUAUGAAUUUAAACAUGUCUGGUAGAAACUGAACUCUAUCCACUAGUUUAUUGCACACAGGCCAGCUGAUGAUUAUUUUUGCCUGAAGCUGCAAUUGACUCAGGAACUUAGAACAGAUGGACUCGAUGCCUUUCUGAACCAUUUUGUCCCUGCAUCAUCCACUAGGACCAGACAAAAAAUAGCUAAGCUAUUGUCUGAAGUUAGAUUUGUGUGUGUGUAUAUUUAUAAUUUCUGUGGAUCUCUUCCAAAAACCUAUGCACUCCAUGCAAACUUGGUGUGCCUUCUAACCAUGCUGCCUUCUUAUUACAUCUUUUAAAGAUGGCACAUAUGAGGAGUCCAGAGCUGAGCAAUGAUGGUUUCUCUAACAACUGUCAGCACAAUUAGACAAACCAUCAGAACUCUAUAUAGACAGUGGUUCAACUGCAACAGGCCCCGUCUCUGCAAGGGAUACCUGCAGCAAAUAUAUUUCUGAUCUAUAGUACCCGUUCAUGGUAUAAGUCACAGUACAUCAAGCAAUUUUGGCUAGACUCUUUUUAAAUAGUCCAAUUAUACUAACAUAAUCUCUAUUCUAAAAUAAGCCCCAGGCAAAACUUUCUAAAACCUAGAAAGUGUGGAGAGGAAUGGACAGAGCCUCGAGUAAGCCCAUUAAAGACUGGGCUACUGCUAAUCUACAGUACUUCGAAGGUACUCAGAAGCCUUAGUGAUGGGCAGGAGAAUAAAAACAUUAAAAUGGAAAUGGUGAUUAGAAACUCUAGGAAACUGGUUACCUGUCCUGAUUUUUUUUCAAGAGAAUGAAGGUGUCUCUCUCUAAUAUGUUCUCUAUUUAAUUUUCAAUUUAAAAAAAGAAGUUGAUAAAUUUGCUUUGGGACUAUGUUUAAAGAGGUUGGCUUCCAUUCUCUUUCCCAACUUCCUGAAGUAGUAUGGGAUGAUAGGGCUUCUCAUAAGGCUACUUUACUAGGGCACAAAUUUUGUUAAGUCUUCUAACAUGUGCUUGUGCCUCCACGUGUCAGAAAAUAUGUCCCACAUAUUCUGGCUUUGUCAAACCAGUGGAUAAAGAUGGGGGGAGGGGCAGACUUGGGAAGAAACAAUGAUGAAGUCCACUUCUGAAGUAUGGAUGACCUGUUAAGUCCCUACAGGUGGAAACAAUACUUGGCUACUACUGCGUAACCCAAAAGGAGAGUCCAAACAGGUUGUGAAGCUUGCAAAAAAAAAUAAAAAUAAAAUAACCUUCCCCUUCAAGGACCCAAGUUUACAGCAUUCUGUAUAUUAUAUAAGAGCUUUCCCCCACCUACCAGGUAACAUCUUCAUUCUUACCCACAAGAUAAGUGUUUCUAAGAGGGAGAGGAGCAAAUUAAGAUAAAAUUUUGUAGUUUUGUAGAUUUAGCUUCAGGCAAACGCUUUGUUACAGUGCUCCUGUCUGAGUUCAGUGUUUCAUCAAAACUCAAGGCAUUUCUUAAGUGAAAGAACAAAAGAGGCCUUUAACCAUAUCAAAGGUUAUUCAUAGUUGUGUGGGGACCAAAGGGGCUGGAAUAUUAACAUGUAUUUUGAGUUUCAAUGACAUGACAGCAUCUUAUUUCUGACCUUCCAUGCAGAUGAAAUUUACAAAUUCUCUUGCUCUUCUUUGGCAUGUAUUUCAUAACCCUUGUUUUCUCCAUGGAUUCUGAAACUGGGACUGAAGGUUUAAUUGUAGCAUACUCUAAUGUGGGGUUUGCAUAAUUAAGUCCGAAUUUUGCUAAAUAAGAAAUUCCCUAUAACACCUUUUAAUUUUUUUUUUAAACCAAGCCCAUAUCAAUGACUAUUCCCCUGAACUGAAAGGGUUUCUUUAUGCAUUCACUGACCUCCUCUCUUAAGGCCAAAAUUCUGGCAUCCUACCCCUAUGGAUUUGAGGGGAUGGAAAAGGUAAUGCUUAUACUGAAAAGAGAAACAUUCCUGAAUAUUUUAGGACAGAGACAGGAUACAUCUAAAGGCUUCUGGAUCUACUAGUCCAGUGGCUGACUGCCUCAUCUGAAGUAGUUUGCAAUGUUCCUGUUGCCAGGGAGAGGGAUCCAUUUACAAUAGGAAUAACUCCAAUAGCGUGGUAGCUGCAUCAGAAGACAAUGUCAUUUCACAAAGCCUGCUAACAAACUCCAUUUCCUGCCUUUUACACUUAAUAGUUCCUUGGAUUUCUUUCUGUGUCAUAGAACUUGGACCAGUUCCAGUUGGUCAACAUUAUUAAGUAGUACUAGCAAACUGCCUGUCAUGAAUGAUGGGGAUGGGGUGGGGCAGGGACAGAGUACCACCACCCCAGUGCUGCCGCUCUACCUUGGGCCCUGUAUACCCCCCACCCCAUCCCCGCCUCUGGCCUUGCAUCCUGCCCUGUAUGCCAUCCCCAUCCCCUGCCACUCCACCCCACUGGGAGCUGGCUCCCAGGAAUAAGGGGCCAGGGAGCUUGCACACAGCAGCAGCUGCUGCCACCUGGCAGCAGGCAACAUCUCCCUUCCCCUCCCCCUCUCAACUAGCUGUUGU